rnacentral:rRNA from 1 species
ACGGGGGGGGCAAGCGUUGUUCGGAAUUACUGGGCGUAAAGGGCGCGUAGGCGGUUGGAUAAGUCAGCUGUGGAAACCACGGGCUUAACUCGUGGCCUGCAGUUGAGACUGUCUGGCUUGAGUGUGGGAGAGGAGAGUGGAAUUCCUGGUGUAGCGGUGAAAUGCGUAGAUAUCAGGAGGAACACCAGUGGCGAAGGCGGCUACCUGGCCCAUUCUUGACGCUGAGGCGCGAGAGCUAGGGGAGCGAACGGGA